rfam:TPA: Bos taurus chromosome 5, whole genome shotgun sequence.
UCCCUGGUGGUCCAGUGGUUAGGACUCAGCACUUUCACUCCUGGGACAUGGCUUCAAUCCCUAGUCAGGGAA